rnacentral:rRNA from 1 species
AGCAGCCGCGGUAAUUCCAGCUCCAAUAGCGUAUAUUAAAGUUGUUGCAGUUAAAAAGCUCGUAGUUGAAUUUCGGGAUCAGCAGGUCGGUCGUGCCACUGGUAUGCACUGGCCUUGCUGAUUCCUCCCUCUUGAUGAGCCGUAAUGCCAUUAAUUUGGUGUUGCGGGGAAUCAGGACUGUUACUUUGAAAAAAUUUAGAGUGUUUAAAGCAGGCAUGCGCUUGAAUACAUUAGCAUGGAAUAAUGAAAUAGGACGUUCGAUCCUAUUUUGUUGGUUUCUAGGAUUGACGUAACGAUUAAUAGGGAUAGUUGGGGGCAUUAGUAUUCAAUUGUCAGAGGUGAAAUUCUUGGAUUUAUUGAAGACUAACUACUGCGAAAGCAUUUGCCAAGGAUGUUUUCAUUAAUCAAGAACGAAAGUUAGGGGAUCGAAGACGAUCAGAUACCGUCGUAGUCUUAACCAUAAACUAUGCCGACUAGGGAUCGGAUGAUGUUAAUUUUUUCAAUGACUCAUUCGGCGCCU